rnacentral:lncRNA from 10 species
CCGCGCGCAGCCCCGAUUCCCGCCCGCGCCUCUCCCUCCACACCUCCCUGCAAGCUGAGGGAGCCGGCUCCGGCCUUGGCCAGCCCAGAAAGGGGCUCCUACAGUGCAGCGGCGGGCUGAAGAGCUCCUCAAGCACGGCCAGAGUGGGCGCUAAGGCCGAGGAGGCCCCGAGAGCGAGCGAGGGCUGUGAGCGCUGCCAGCAUGCUGUCACCUCUCAAUAGUAAGGGGACAUUAGAAUUGCCACUAUGCUGGUCUAGAUUGCAGGCAGCAAUACAAG